GCUCCGGUGACCUACUGGUUAGAGCGUCCGCCUACAGAUGCGGGAGGUCAUGGGUUCGAUCCCCGGUCGAGUCA